rnacentral:misc_RNA from 1 species
UGAUGAAGGGGGCACUGAGAAGGCAACCUCGUGUUCCAUCAGUGGAGCAGAUCUUAGCCACGCAUGCUGUAGGAGAUCUGAAAAUGCUCUCAUCAUGGUGGUCUGACCAGAAAGCCACAAUUGACUAGAAUCAUCCUGCUCAUUUUCUUCCGAUGCCGAGUUUUCCCAACACUGAGCUAUCACUGCUAGUGUUGCAAAGCACUGUUCCACCAUCUGAGGCCAUGGCUCCAGAUCUAAAGGCAAGUUCUUUGAAGUUUCUUUAACCAACAGACAAACAAUAUCUGGAAUAUGCGGUGAAAGUUUUUCAGUUGCAACCUCGACCAUAGUACUUAGAAGCUGAAAGUAAAUGAAGCUAUCUUCUUCCUCAUCACUAAUCCUAUGACAAACCACCUGAAGAAGUGGUAACCACUCAGGUGGCAUGUACUCAUUCUGCAGUACCAAAAGGCCAAGCAUUA